GUAACGUCAUUAUAGACUUCACUACUAUUGUUGUUGUUUAUUUUUGCUUUAACGUAAAAAUAAAUAGGUCGAACCUGGAUUGAAUUACGUUUCUUUCAAGUUGGCACAGACGUCUGAAUCGUCGGAUUGGCUGCGCUCCACCCUUGUACACACUCAUAAGAACCAUACAUGAAGAGGUGAUGGAGCUGGAUAACAUGAUUGCGCUGGUCAAUGAGCAGCAGAUUCAGAAGAUCCAGCGGAAAGCCAGUCGGUCAGUUCAGUUGUAUGCUGCUUGGGAAGAGUGCAGAGCCGGGACGCUGUCAACGAGUGGGCUUCUCAAGAGAUGCAGUACCUUCUACAAGACGGUGGUAACCAAGAGAUCAGAAGAAAAUCCUGUGAAUUAGGAUGAUGAACAUUGCCGAUCUUUGUCGAUAAAAUACAUGUGUUAUGAUAUGUUAUUUAUGUAUCGGUAUCGAUAUCAAUUCAGAUAUCGAUUUAGAUUUACGUUUUUCAUACAUGUUUAGCAAUUGUCAACUAUUGGAAAACUGAUUGAUAAAAACACCAAAAUUA